UGGUGACAUGAUGCUUCAACAUCUUUCGGGACUGAUUUUAAUGAGGACAUCUCUACUUCUGAUCACCC
ensembl:snoRNA small nucleolar RNA SNORD2